ensembl:lncRNA
GAACAACAUCUCCCAGGGAGCACCGCGGCAAAGGCGGCCUCUCAUUGGCUCUCGCCUCGGCAACCUCCCCCCCCUUGCCCGGCCCCGGAAGGCGCCGCCGGCUCCAGAACUACAUUUCCCAAGAUGCACCGAGGCGCCGCCAGGUUUUGGACUACAUUUCCCACAAAACACACACACGGGUCCUCGCCCGGGCCCGCGCGCAGGCACCCCCCCACCACCCGACCCCGGGCAGGCGCAGGCGCGCCGAAGGGGCCGAGGGAGGAGGAGCCAGGGCGGCGUUGCCGUGGAAACCGGAGCGGCCGGUCCGGAAACGGGGCCCCUGCAGCCCAGAAAUCCGUCGGCGGGGAGGAGGCGCCGAGCCGGAGCUCCGCGCCAAUCAGCGCUGCGCGCUGCGUCUCCUUGACAACGGGCCGCGCGUCACCCUCCCUCCCCGCCCCGUGCGGACGCAGCUGGGUUCGAGUUGGCCACGCGGCCGCGGCGGGCCUGGCCAGGGCGCCCUGCUCUGCCGUGUGAGCCUGGUCCGCGGGUCCUAGACUUCAAUUGCCUCCUCGCCUUUGAGUCGGGGAGGGGGCUGUCUGCAAGGUCUCGACUGGCCUCCGGGGUCCGGGCCGCAGCCUCCCCAUCUCAGACCCGGGAAGGAGAUGCACAGACGGGCGCAAGACCGAGGCCGGCCGGGAGCCGCGCGGACCCCGGGCUCAGUCAUCGCCCGGGGCCACACCUCGUGUCCUCGGGAAGGUGAGGCGGACACGCCCCUCGCCCCCACCUCCGCCUCCGCCUCCGGGGCUGGUGCGCAGACGGGGUGAGACAGUGGCUGGCGCGGAACCAGCGUUCACCAGACGGACACUUUCCCCCUGGUUUCACAAGUGGUCAGUGGCUGAGUCAGAAGAGAGCGGGGUGAAAACCACCCUCCUCACUGUGGCCUCACGGACCUUGGCCCACCGCUCCCCUCUUGCCCAGUGGGUUCCAGCCACACCGGAGUCUCCUGCUGACCUUUGUUCCCACUCACUUCCGAUUGCCCACUCGACGUCUCCAGUUGGAGUUUUUAAAGAGGCAUUUCAGACCUUGAGGUGGACAGAGGAGACUGUUUCGCCCUUCCCCCCUGACAAAGAAACUUGCUUUCGCCCGUUUUCUGCAGUCUUAGGAAAUGAGUCUAAAGGACUUCCCUGGCGGUCCAGGGUCCAGUGGUUAAGACUCCAGGCUUCCACUUCAGCGUGACGCUCUGCAUUUUCACUGUUCACUGGGCCCACAAAUUAAGUAGCUAUUCGCAUAACAUCGCCUUGAUGAGUUACGCAGUACCCACGCAUGGCGGCCGUUUCUCCAGUGCUCAGGUGUACUGUCUAUGGCCGAGGAAUAGAAUAAAAGGAUUCUCUGGAUGUCUCCCCUCCAUUUCUUCACCCAGUACUAUCGUACCUACUAAUCAGUAAUCAAGUCACGUGUCACCUCCUCCAAGAAGCCCUCCCUGACCAUGCCCACUGCAGUAAACCUGGACGAAGGGCCUCAUCUGAGCCUCCACAGUGUCCCUCCUCUCUCUGUCUCUGUGGGUGUGUGGCUGCUCCGCCCACCCUCUGGUGAGGAACUCAUCAACACAGAUCCAGUGCUUGCCAGCUCCUCGAUUGGGGCCUGCUCUUGAAAAGAGGAAAUAAGCAUGGGAGGAAAGAAAUUCUUACCCUACUUCCCAGGCCCGAGGGCAAGAAUUCCUUUGGCAGCAAACCUAACCGUACCCCACCAAAGCUCCCCGGCUCCUUUGUAGCGCCAAUAUAAU